rnacentral:rRNA from 1 species
GACGAACGCUGGCGGCGUGCUUAACACAUGCAAGUCGAACGCUGAACCCGCUUCGGUGGGGGAUGAGUGGCGAACGGGUGAGUAGCACGUGGGCAACCUGCCCCCGGCUCUGGGAUAACUCCAAGAAAUUGGGGCUAAUACCGGAUGUGACCGCUGGCCGCAUGGUCUGGUGGUGGAAAGGGUUUCCGGCUGGGGAUGGGCCCGCGGCCUAUCAGCUUGUUGGUGGGGUAGUGGCCUACCAAGGCGACGACGGGUAGCCGGCCUGAGAGGGUGACCGGCCACACUGGGACUGAGACACGGCCCAGACUCCUACGGGAGGCAGCAGUGGGGAAUAUUGCGCAAUGGGCGGAAGCCUGACGCAGCGACGCCGCGUGGGGGAUGACGGCCUUCGGGUUGUAAACCUCUUUCAGCAGGGACGAAGCGCAAGUGACGGUACCUGCAGAAGAAGCACCGGCCAACUACGUG